GAUGAACGCUGGCGGCGUGCUUAACACAUGCAAGUCGAACGAUAAGACCACUUCGUUGGCUCACGGGUGGCGACCGGGUGAGGAAUAGUAACACAUGUGUCUCGUACCUGUGAAUAACGACUCGAUACGGUAACUCGUACCUCAUGCCGGCUAAUGUUGUAAACCGGAGAGCUCCAAGGCUUAAGAUGCUCUAGCUGCUGAUGACAGAUGAGCUAGUUGUUGAGGUAAAAGCUUACCAGGCAGACGAUCUGUAGCGGGUCUGAGAGGAUGACCAGCCACACUGGAACUGAGACACGGCCCAGACUCCUACGGGAGGCAGCAGUAGGGAAUUUUGGCCAAUGGGCGCAAGCCUGAUCCAGCAACGCCGCGUGAAUGAUGAAGGCCUUCGGGUCGUAAACUGCUGUUGUUCGGAAAGAACAGCUGUCUUCGAAACCAGGCGCGUCAUGACGGUACCUUAAGAAUAAGCACCGGCUAACUACGUG
rnacentral:rRNA from 1 species